GAUGAACGCUGGCGGCGUGCCUAAUACAUGCAAGUCGAGCGGACAGGCGAUGAGGGGGCUACACGAACGGUGACCGCGUGCGUGUGACGAGCACGUUCUGAACCUCCCUAUAAGACUGGGAUAACUUCGUGAAACCGGUGCUAGAUCGGAAUAAGAGAUUCAUCCGCAGUGGUGAAUAGUUAAAGAGGGGUGUGCUGGCACUGAUGGAUGUAUCCGCGCCGCAUUAGUUAUGUGGUAAGGUAACGGCUUACCAAGGCAAGGAUGCGUAGCCGACCUGAGAGGGUGAUCGGCCACACUGGAACUGAGACACGGUCCAGACUACUACGGGAGGCAGCAGUAGGGAAUCUUACGCAAUGGGCGAAAGCCUGACGGAGCAACGCCGAGUGAGUGAUGAAGGUCUUCGGAUCGUAAAACUCUGUUAUUAGGGAAGAACAAAUGUGUAAGUAACUAUGCACGUCUUGACGGUACCUAAUCAGAAAGCCACGGCUAACUACGUG
rnacentral:rRNA from 1 species